CUUGGUCAUUUAGAGGAAGUAAAAGUCGUAACAGGUUUCCUUCACCUAUUGAAGCCUUCAGCAGCGACUGUAAAGAAAUGCUAGUUUGCUUGCAAGCAAUGCCACUCAAAUGCUGAGACAUAUGAAUCAGAGCCUUUUAGGCUCACAGAUCAAAUUGUGGUAACCAUUCUUAUGGGCAAAUAUGACCGGUCUUAACUAGAGUUAGUUAAGAAUCCACGUUCCGUAGGUAACCUGCGGAAGGAUCAUUAAAGGUUUCGGGUACCCAGUGCCCAAACUUAACCCUAUGUUUUAACUAUUCAUGUUUCUUUGCCGGUUUCGGCCGGCAGAGUUUUCUCAAACUCCACUAUAAAUGUGUCUUCUGAAUCAAAACUAAAUAAUUAAAACUUUCAACAACGGAUCUCUUGGUUCUGGCAUCGAUGAAGAAGCAGCGAAAUGCGAUAAGUAAUGUGAAUUGCAGAAUUCAGUGAAUCAUCAACCUUUGAACGCAUAUUGCGCCCUUUGGCAUUCCGAAGGGCAUACCUGUCGAGCGUCAUUACACCCCUCAAAGAUGACUCUUUGGCGUUGGGCAAUGCUAAAGGCAUGCCUCAAAAUCAGCGAUGGUGAUAUUCAACCACAGGCGCCACACGUCGUCUAGCUGGCGGGAUGUUGACAGUCAAUUGAUGAAUUUCUAAUGUUGACCUCGGAUCAGGUAGGAAUACCCGCUGAACUUAAGCAUAUCAUAAGCGGAGGAA
rnacentral:rRNA from 1 species